GACGAACGCUGGCGGCGUGCCUAAUACAUGCAAGUCGAACGCAGUGGGGACGGGUGAGUAACACGUGGGUAACCUCCCAUCAGAGGGGAUAACACUUGGAAACAGGUGCUAAACCGAUACUGAUGGAUGGACCCGCGGUGCAUUAGCUAGUUGGUGAGGUAACGGCCCACCAGGGCCACGAUGCAUAGCGGACCGGAGAGGGUGAUCGGCCAAAAUGGGACGGAGACACGGCCCAGACUCCUACGGGAGGCAGCAGUGGGGAAGCUUGGGCAAUGGACGAAAGUCUGACCGAGCAACGCCGCGUGAGUGAAGAAGGUUUUCGGAUCGUAAAACUCUGUUGUUAGAGAAGCGGUAUCUAACCAGAAAGCCACGGCUAACUACGGGCCAGCAGCCGCGGUAAUAC
rnacentral:rRNA from 1 species